rnacentral:rRNA from 1 species
GGACUACCGGGGUAUCUAAUCCCGUUCGCUCCCCUGGCUUUCGCACCCGAGCGUCAGUGACUCCCCAGGAUGGUGCCUUCGCCUUUGGUGUUCUUCCGGAUCUCUACGCAUUUCACCACUCCACCCGGAAUUCCCCAUCCCUCUGAAGCCCUCAAGUCUCCCAGUUUUCGUAAGCCUGACACAGUUAAGCUGUGCCCUGUCCCUACAAACUUAAGAGACCGCCUGCGUGCGCUUUACGCCCAGUAACUCCGGACAACGCUCGCCUCCUACGUAUUACCGCGGCUGCUGGCAC